GAUGAACGCUAGCGGCAGGCCUAACACAUGCAAGUCGAGGGGUAGUUACUUUCGGGUAAUGAGACCGGCGCACGGGUGCGUAACGCGUAUGCAAUCUACCUUUUACAGGGGAAUAGCCCAGAGAAAUUUGGAUUAAUGCCCCAUAGUAUGUAUGAAUCGCAUGGUUUAUACAUUAAAGUUCCAACGGUAAAAGAUGAGCAUGCGUCCCAUUAGUUAGUUGGUAAGGUAACGGCUUACCAAGACGAUGAUGGGUAGGGGUCCUGAGAGGGAGAUCCCCCACACUGGUACUGAGACACGGACCAGACUCCUACGGGAGGCAGCAGUGAGGAAUAUUGGACAAUGGGCGCAAGCCUGAUCCAGCCAUGCCGCGUGCAGGAAGAAGCAUCUAUGGUGUGUAAACUGCUUUUUGUACGGGAAGAAACACUCCUUCGUGAAGGAGCUUGACGGUACCGUAAGAAUAAGGAUCGGCUAACUCCGUGCCAGCAGCCGCGGUAAUGUACAGU
rnacentral:rRNA from 1 species